rnacentral:rRNA from 1 species
CCUACGGGGGGCAGCAGUGAGGAAUAUUGGUCAAUGGACGAGAGUCUGAACCAGCCAAGUAGCGUGAAGGAUGACUGCCCUAUGUGUUGUAAACUUCUUUUAUAUGGGAAUAAAACGUUCCACGUGUGGGAUUUUGUAUGUACCAUAUGAAUAAGGAUCGGCUAAUUCCGUGCCAGCAGCCGCGGUAAUACGGAGGGUCCGAGCGUUAUCCGGAUUUAUUGGGUUUAAGGGGAGCGUAGGUGGAUUGUUAAGCCGGUUGUGAAAGGCUGGGGCUCAACCGUAGAAUUGCAGUUGAAACUGGCGGGCUUGAGUGCAGUAGAGGUGGGCGGAAUUCGUGGUGUAGCGGUGAAAUGCUUAGAUAUCACGAAGAACUCCGAUUGCGAAGGCAGUUCACUGGACUGCAACUGACGCUGAGGCUCGAAAGUGUGGGUAUCAAACAGGAUUAGAUACCCCUGUAGUC